AAUUGAAAGAGACUGAGAGAGACUCUGAUAAACAGAGAGAAAGAGCCCAUAGUUUCCGAUAAAAAAAAAAAAAAAAAAAAAAAAAAAUCCGCUUCCCAGUUCCUUUCAAAAAAAACUUUGUUUCCAGUUACGCUAAAACGAUCUUUUUGCUUUUUGAUUUUUCCAGAAAAAGAAGCAGAAGAAGAAGGAAGAUGAAAAACAAAAUCCAAAACUUAGAUGAGAAAGAAGUAAGCGAUCAGAGGUGCCAUCUCCGAUUCUCUCACACAAUGGCCACCGAUUCAUCAGACCAACAAUCUCAACCCUACUACUACUACUACAGAAGAAAACCUAAACAAACCCUAGACGACGACACCACUACUGCUGUCACGCCCAUCAGAUCGUCUCGAAGAAGAAGAAAAGGAAGAACCAACCGAUGAGGCUUCUGAUCAGCCUUCUGUAACCACCGUCGAUUCCGAUGCGAAGUUCGGCGAGGAUUCAAAGAGCACUAUAGCCGCUGCCUAUAGCAGGGGAUGUUGUUGAUGUGGAUCCGGCUUCCAAUCGUUUCACUCCGCACUCCAAGUACAAAUUUAGAAAAGUUACUGGAUUCUCUAAUAGGAGAAUUACCGUUGGGUUCUCUACAAUAAAAUGAAAGAUAAAUGGUGAAGAUGGCAUUGAGAUUAGUGACGGCAUGGUGAAGAUCGGUGUGUGGUGGUUGUUAAGAUUAGCGUUGAGAUUGAUGUGCUGUUUGUGGUGAUUGUUGAGGUGGGUUUGCAUUGGUUUUUUUUUUGGUUGGUGAGUUGUGGUUGUGGGUUGUAGUGGGGUUUCUUUUGGUGAUGGUUGUUGUGGCGGGUUUUUAUGGCUAGUUGUUUUAUAUUAUUUUAAGAGGUUUUUAUAUAUUAUUUUAAUGGGUAAUAUGCUAAAACAGUAGAUUAGAUGUAGGGUAUAUUGUUAAGUGGUAUGUUAAAAAUAUAAAAUAGAUAAAGUAAUUUUUUGGUGUGUUAAAGUUGCAUAAUUUUUUAUCACACCAGAUGCUAAUGCUCUAAGAAGGACUAAAGGUGACAUGCAAACUUAUAGAACCAAAAUGACAAAAAAUAAAACGUAGUGGACCAAAAUUACACUUGAAAAAUCUCCCUCAGGAAUACAUGUGGUUAGAUUUGACAAAUCUUGUGUGUGAUGAUUUGGGCUUUUUAAAAAAAAAAAAAAAUUUAUUUUUAUGGAAGGAGAAAAAGGGACUCGUAGCUAUGAUCACUGCCCUUAGCCUAUACAUAAAUCUGACUCAAGCAUAGUGUGGGAUAACCUGUGCAAUAGUAGAGUUUGCCACUGGCGUCGGAUAACUUGGAAGCUGGGGUUUGACGGUGGGUUUUGGGUUUUUUAUUGAGUGGAUGACCAAAAGAGGCAUCAACGUGUAUAAGUUAUAACUUAAGAAAACUCUUAUUCAAUUUCAUUAGAUUUUAGUCGAUAUUAUUCUUAAAA